rnacentral:rRNA from 4 species
UAAAUCAAAACUUUCAACAACGGAUCUCUUGGUUCUGGCAUCGAUGAAGAACGCAGCAAAAUGCGAUAAGUAAUGUGAAUUGCAGAAUUCAGUGAAUCAUCGAAUCUUUGAACGCACAUUGCGCCCGCCAGUAUUCUGGCGGGCAUGCCUGUUCGAG